rnacentral:rRNA from 1 species
GCGAACGCUGGCGGCAGGCUUAACACAUGCAAGUCGAGCGGGCCCUUCGGGGUCAGCGGCAGACGGGUGAGUAACGCAUGGGAACGUGCCCUUCGGUUCGGAAUAACUCAGGGAAACUUGAGCUAAUACCGGAUACGCCCUUAUGGGGAAUGGUUUACUGCCGAAGGAUCGGCCCGCGUCUGAUUAGCUAGUUGGUGAGGUUAUGGCUCACCAAGGCGACGAUCAGUAGCUGGUCUGAGAGGAUGAUCAGCCACACUGGGACUGAGACACGGCCCAGACUCCUACGGGAGGCAGCAGUGGGGAAUAUUGGACAAUGGGGGCAACCCUGAUCCAGCCAUGCCGCGUGAGUGAUGACGGCCUUAGGGUUGUAAAGCUCUUUUCUCCGGGACGAUAAUGACGGUACCGGAGGAAUAAGCCCCGGCUAACUUCGUG